rnacentral:lncRNA from 10 species
UGAGUUUAUCCUACUUGGAUUUGUUGACUUCCUGGAAGGAUUAAAUGAAUUUAUCGAUGGAGUAUAGAGCCUGGAUCCAACUUUCUCAAGCAAUGAGAUAGAAUUUAUUUUCUGGUAAAAUGUAUCAUUAGAGCUCCAGAUUGACUGCAAGAAUAAACCAGCAGAGGACCCAGAGGCCGUCUGAAGGAACCAGACUGCUCCUGCAGGACCCAGCUGACGCCCCAAAUAAUGUCAGUGCACCGAAUGUGGAAGUGGGAAAGGGAGACCCUCCUCUCCCGAACACACACCCCUGCUGGAG